AUGUUUAGAGAGAUUGGGGAUGGUCUAGGAGGAGGGGCUCAGAGUAUGGAAAUUUCAUUGGAUGAAGAAUAUGGAAUCCCUGGUACUAGGAGUGCUGCAGUUGAUGAGGCUCUUAGAGCACAACAUAAAUCAAAAGGACCAAUGGAUAGAUAUGUUACUUUAGAAGCUCGACAAAGAUCCGACCCAAAUUCCACUUUAGAAUCUGCGCCGAAUCCUGUAUGUCAGAAACUGACCAAGAGCCAGGAAUUAGAGUAUUUGUGUCGAAAGCUACGUAGGGUUUCAAAGGAACAGUUUAAAAAAACAUCUGAAGGGGAUAUUAGGAGUGAUGUCACUGAAGUUUCUGAAAGAAGUUCUACUGAGGAAAUAGACAUGAAGGAGAUCAAUGAAGCAUUUGAGGUUCAUGGAAAUUCGGCUGACCAUCAAACUGACAGAUUUAGCUAUAAUGAUGAAGAUCAGUUUGAUAUAGAUGACGAUGAGUUGGAUGAUUCAUAUGAUUCAGAAGCAGAGAAUGAACUGGAAUUAUUGGUGACUAUGGCGACUCAUUGAUCCAAGCUAGCCCAGAAAUUGAUGGUGAUGUUGAAAAUCUUUUAGGAGAGGAAGGGGGCAUUACUGCACUGAAGGCCGCUUUUGAAGCUUGAGACGCAAAAACUUCAUUUAACUUCAAUUCUCUGAUGAGAAACAACCUAUUUCAGUUACUCCAAAAGCUUGCCACAACCAAUCCAAUCCUAGCAUGGGAAAAAAGAGUGGAGUUGAAGAGAAUACUUCUCCAGGUACAUUGCAUGUUCUCCCUCUUUAUGCCAUGCUCCAUGCGAAAGAUCAGCUUCGUGUAUUUGAAGAAGUCAGGGAAGGAGAACGGCUCGUUGUUGUGGCCACCAAUGUGGCUGAAACAUCUUUAACUAUACCUGGGAUAAAGUACGUUGUCGAUACUGGAAGAGAGAAAGUGAAAAGGUACAAUUCCUCAAAUGGCAUGGAAACAUAUGAAGUACAGUGGAUAAGUAAGGCAUCAGCUGCUCAACGUGCAGGAAGAGCUGGAAGAACCGGGCCUGGAUACUGUUACCGUCUGUAUUCUUCUGCAGCAUAUAGUAACAUAUUUCCUGACUUUUCUCUGGCUGAAAUAUCUAAAGUCCCUGUUGAUGGUGUUGUACUUUACAUGAAAUCCAUGAAUAUUGAUAAGGUAUCCAAUUUUCCAUUUCCAACUCCUCCAGAGGGUGCUGCCUUGGAUGAAGCUGAGCGUUGCUUGAAGAUCCUUCAAGCACUUGAUAGCAAUGGAAGACUGACACCUUUAGGGAAUGCCAUGUUUGGAGGGUUUCCCAUGAUAAGAAUCCUCUAUUAUUGUAUGAGGAAGAGCUCCUAG